rnacentral:rRNA from 1 species
CCCUUAGAUGUCCGGGGCCGCACGCGCGCUACACUGAAGGAAUCAGCGUGGCUUUCUCCCUGACCCGAAAGGGUUGGGAAACCCGUUGAAUCUCCUUCGUGAUAGGGAUUGGGGCUUGAAAUUGUUCCCCAUGAACGAGGAAUUCCUAGUAAGCAUGUGUCAUCAGCCCGUGCUGAUUACGUCCCUGCCCUUUGUACACACCGCCCGUCGCUCCUACCGAUUGAGUGGUCCGGUGAAUUAUUCGGACUGCAACGCGUUCAGCUUCUGGAUGCAGUUGCGGAAAGUUUUGUAAACCUUAUCACUUAGAGGAAGGAGAAGUCGUAACA